UUUUUUCUUAGGUAUCAGUAGAGCCGGUUCAGUGUCAGGUGUGGGGAGAUGGGUAUAAAAAAGUAUAAUAGACUGUUCACCUGUUUUCUAGAUACCAGUCAGUCACAGGCCCUUAGACUCAUCAUCACUCAGGGUUUGAAUACAAACAAGGCUGAAAAACUGUUUGAUGUGUCAUAUAGGAAACAGCUAAUCACAUGUAAUAAAAAAAAAAAAUUGAGAAUGUGGUUUACAGAGACUUCACAUGUGACACAUUUAUACAUUUGUAUAUACUUUGAAUAAAUAUGAUGAGUGGACUGGUUCUUAUGUAGUACUUUUUUUACUCUGACUGAGCGCUCACAGCUCUUUUUUACUACAAACCUCAUUGAUAGAAUCACACACACUCAUUCGUAGAGUGCUAGGUGUUUGAAUAUAAUGUUACUCAUCUUUAUGUAACAAAUUAGUUUGGCUGUACUUGUUUUUGCAGUUCAUGGUCAGUAUCAAACCUCUAACUGCUCUCUUUGGUAAAACCACAGUGAUGUUAUUGAAGUCAAACUGCAGGAAGAGGAAGUUUUCAUCUGCAGUACAGAGCAGCUGUAUUUGAGGCUUAGACAUUCAGCUGCAGGACAACAUGAAGGUUACAGCUGUCUGCUUCACAAUGUUGUUACUUGUAUUUAUUCUGCUGACCACACAUGUUGAAAACAGGGAUGCUGUGUUUCGCAUCGUCCCAAAAAGACUGCAGUUCUUUCAGCUGGAGUCUGUCUUCUUUCACUGUGAGGGUCUUGAUGGAGCUUCUCAGUUAAAAGGGAUCACAAAUACUGAGGCCUUCAUUUCAGCGUGUGAUGAGAGCUCACCAACACUAUUGUGUGCGAUUCAUCGAGCCUAUGCAACAGACAGCAGUGAAUACUGGUGUGAGACUGGAGCAGGAGAGAAAAGCAUCAGUGUCAACAUCACCAUAACUCGUAUGUUUAACACUCGAGUGACCGAGCUAUUUUAUUAUGAAAAGAUGAGGUCAUUAAUGACCUGAUGAAUUUAUAAAUGUCAUUCAGAAACAUUUUCUAAAAUGUAAAUGUUCUAUUUGUAUCUAUAGCUGUAGUAUUCUGAACUAAUAUUAUUAUUUAUUGCAUAAAGCAUUUAACUUAAACUUUUAACGAGUCAUAUUGAUUACACUCAAAUGUUGCUACAAUAUUGAUUAAUCAAGCCACAAUACUUGUUCAAUGGUAUGUACUAUUAAUAAAAAUUAACAUUAAAAUGAG